GCUUUUGGUGGAAGAGGCUGCUUUCUUUUCCGGGUGACUUUUACUGGAUUGAGGCGGCUGUCGGGGAGGCCGCUUGUAAACCCCUGGACAACGGAGAACGCCCACUUGGAGCCUUUCUUCGCUUUUGGUGUGUAAAUGAAGACCCCAGAUUCUUCAGCGCUUCCCUGGAGAGAAGAAUGGGGGUAAAAGUUUAAGUACUCAAGGGUGGAGCAAGAAAAGAAUGAAAGGGCAUUGUUUGCACAGAAAGAGGAACAGAGAAUAAAAGCCCUGCUCCGACAGGAAAUGCUCUACUAGCUGAUCCAUAGGACCAUCUUGCCCCAGUGCAAGUGCAGCCUGCUGAUCAUUUCUCGAGGGCAGGAAUGCAUGGCAUCCUCUAUCUGCCCUCUAGUCAACCAGGAAGGCAACUUCCACAUGUCAUUUUCUGCUAAGAAAGUGUUUUCCAGUUUGAAAAAGGAUUUGCUGUACGUUGAAGACCUUGCCAGGAUGGGGGGGGGGGGAUUUGUUUUUCCUAGAUUGGACCCAUCUGCUUCUCCCACAAUUCUUCCAGAUCCAAAUGCCUAAUAUUGAAUUGACAGCAAUAUUCUUUGCUUUCUCCAAUUCCAUGAUAAUUCAAAACCUAGAUGUGGGCUCUGUGUCUGCCAUCUGCUGGUUUGGAUAAAAGUGAAUAAACACGAAAGCCAGCUGGGAGCAGAAAACUCCGUGACGGGGGAAUCAAUAGGGAGGAAGAGAUGACUCUUCGGUGAAGCUCCAGGAAAAAUACAUUU